rnacentral:rRNA from 1 species
GUGUCAGCCGCCGCGGUAAAACGUAGGUACCGAGCGUUAUCCGGAUUUACUGGGCGUAAAGCGUGUGCAGGCGGUUACGCAAGUCGGGCAUGAAAGCUCCUGGCUCAACUAGGAGAAGCUGUCCGAUACUGCGUGACUUGAGGGCUCGAGAGGGCGAUGGAAUUCCGCAUGUAGUGGUGAAAUGCGUAGAGAUGCGGAGGAACACCAGUGGCGAAAGCGGUCGCCUGGCGAGCCCCUGACGCUCAGACACGAAAGCUAGGGGAGCGAACGGGAUUAGAAACCCUCGUAGUCC